GACAGCAGCCAUAUCACCCUGCAGCUCACAGCUCACAGCUGGCAGCUGGCAGCCCACUGGAGCUCAGCAGGGUUGAGCCUGGCCCGUACCUGGAUGGGAGACCUCCUGGGAAAGAUAAGGUUGCUGCUAGAA
rnacentral:rRNA from 1 species